UCUGUGGAUCGUUAUAUCAAAUGAGAGUAGUUAGUAAUAUUACAACAAAAUCAGACGGAAUGAAGCAGAAA
rnacentral:sRNA from 12 species